rnacentral:rRNA from 14 species
UCCUCGAGUCGUUGAUUUCACACUGCCGAGAAAAGCCUCUAGAUAGAAAAUAGGUGCCCGUACCGCAAACCGACACAGGUAGUCAAGAUGAGAAUUCUAAGGUGAGCGAGCGAACUCUCGUUAAGGAACUCGGCAAAAUGACCCCGUAACUUCGGGAGAAGGGGUGCUCAUGAAAAUGAGCCGCAGUGAAAAGGCCCAAGCGACUGUUUAUCAAAAACACAGGUCUCUGCUAAACCGAAAGGUGAUGUAUAGGGGCUGACGCCUGCCCGGUGCUGGAAGGUUAAAAGGCGUGCUUAG